CCGUCAAAUUGUUAUUAAAAAUGUUUUCAAGCUCCGAUAGUGACAGUGAUUCCAUAAGUAAUUGUGUAAAAUUGUGGUUGCUUUCCAGAAGAAAAUUCAGAAAAUGGGGUGUGCAUCCAUUGAACAAAGAACGUACUAAACUUGGUGAAUUCUAUACAUUGUAUCAACGUCUUAAAAGUUUUCCGAAUAGGUUCUACGGAUAUUUGCGAAUGUCUCAGUCGACAUUUAGUUAUAUUUUACAGCUGCUAGAACCUAGAAUUGAAAAGGUGUAUACCAACAUACAUAAACAACCUGUUUUACAUUUUUAUUGAGUUAAACGAGACAAAUACAUGUCCUUUAAAUUUGUACAGCUUGCUAAAGAGAUUUCAUAAUUGUAUAAAAUUUAUCUCCAGCAAAAUAUGUGUUCUGCUGUUCCACAGGAAUCUCUUGUGAGCGUGACGUUGAUGGAAUUGCCUCUGAUUGUUAACAUUUAUUUUUGCUGUUCCCAUGACCAUACGCCAUUUCCAUCAGUAUUUGUUGAACCUGAAGUCGAAAAUGCAGCUUUUCAGCAGGAGGCAGUUUUUUGACAUGAGGUACUUAGCAAGUGGAAAUUCUUUUAGAAGUCUCGCAUUUUCAUUUCGAUUGGAAGCCUCUACUAUUGCGAGUAUUGUACGAGAAAUCACUGUUUUAUUAAGGGAAGUUUUGCAGCCUUUACAUAUGAAGCAACCCACUGAAGAACAGUUCAAAGAAAUUGCCAAUGGUUUCUAUUACAAAUGGAAUUUCCCACAAUGUCUAGGUGCAAUUGAUGGUAAACAUGUUCGAAUCAAAUGCCCAACUCGGUCAGGAACAAUGUUUUACAACUAUAAGCAAUAUUUUUCAAUUGUAUUACAAGCAGUCAGUGAUGCUAACUGUAAGUUUUUAUUUAUUGAAGUUGGGGCACAGGGCAUAACAGAGCGAUGGAGAAACGUUUCGGAGCUCUAAACUGUAUAAAUUAAUGGAAAGGCAAAGGCUGAACAUACCUGCUGAAGCAUACAUUCCAUGUUCAAAUAUUAAGGGGCCUUUUGUUUUUAUAGGCGAUGAAGCGUACCCUUUGUUGAAGAAUUUAAUGAAGCCAUACUGUAGAAACCAAUUAAAUGAAGAAAAUGAGCUAUUUAACAAAAGGCUUUCUCGAGCACGAAAAACUAUUAUAACAAUAAAAUGGAGAAUAUUAACCAAAGCUAUUGAAACUCAUCCUGACACCGCUGAUGCAAUUAUUAAGGCUAUAUGUAUUCUCCACAAUACUAUAAUUAACAAAGAACACAUAAUAUUUGAUGACUUUGCGGAGGACAGAAUGAGUGGGGUGCUGCAAGAUGUCCAAGCAACAAGAAGAAACAAUCGUUCCACAACAGAGGCUGUUUCGGUCAGAAAUUCAUUUAAGGAAUAUUUUGUUACCAAAAAUAAUAUUUGAUAUUAUGUUAUUAAGUCUGUUUACAUUUCUUAGGUUAAGACUUUCAGAAAUAUGGUCAUUAGGACAUUAGAUGCACAUAAAAUAAUUCACAUUGGACUAGUUUCACAUAAUUAUUAUCAUAAAUAUAAAAAAAUACCAAUAAACUAUACGUUUUUAUCGUAA